rnacentral:rRNA from 1 species
GAUGAACGCUGGCGGCGUGCCUAAUACAUGCAAGUCGAGCCAACAGACGAGGAGCUUGCUCCUCUGACGUUAGCGGCGGACGGGUGAGUAACACGUGGAUAACCUACCUAUAAGACUGGGAUAACUUCGGGAAACCGGAGCUAAUACCGGAUAAUAUUUUGAACCGCAUGGUUCAAUAGUGAAAGACGGUCUUGCUGUCACUUAUAGAUGGAUCCGCGCCGCAUUAGCUAGUUGGUAAGGUAACGGCUUACCAAGGCGACGAUGCGUAGCCGACCUGAGAGGGUGAUCGGCCACACUGGAACUGAGACACGGUCCAGACUCCUACGGGAGGCAGCAGUAGGGAAUCUUCCGCAAUGGGCGAAAGCCUGACGGAGCAACGCCGCGUGAGUGAUGAAGGUCUUCGGAUCGUAAAACUCUGUUAUUAGGGAAGAACAAAUGUGUAAGUAACUAUGCACGUCUUGACGGUACCUAAUCAGAAAGCCACGGCUAACUACGUG